rnacentral:rRNA from 1 species
UUGGCGAUGCGUCUUAAGCAUGCAAGUCGAGCGGACUUAUCUAGCAAUAGAUAAGUUAGCGGCGAACUGGUGAGUAACACGUAGGUAAUCUGCCGUAAAGAGUGGGAUAACCCAUGGAAACAUGGACUAAUACCGCAUAUACUCUUGCUACUCAAGUAGCGUAGAGGAAAUGGGCAACCUGCUUUACGAUGAGCCUGCGGCCUAUUAGCCUGUUGGUGGGGUAAUGGCCUACCAAWGCUACGAUAGGUAGCCGACCUGAGAGGGUGACCGGCCACAUUGGGACUGAGAUACGGCCCAGACUCCUACGGGAGGCAGCAGCUGAGAAUCUUCCACAAUGGACGAAAGUCUGAUGGAGCGACAUCGCGUGAGGGAUGAAGGCCUUCGGGUUGUAAACCUCGUAAAUUAUCGAAGAAUGAGUGACDGUABABHADGUAAGCVUCGGCUAACUACGUGCCAGCAGCCGCGGUAAUACGUAGGAGGCAAACGUUGCUCGGAUUUACUGGGCGUAAAGGGUGAGUAGGCGGAAUUAUAAGUCUAAGGUGAAAGAUCGAAGCUCAACUUCGGAAACGCCUCGGAUACUGUAAUUCUAGGAUAUUGUAGGGGAUGAUGGAAUUCUCGGUGUAGCGGUGGAAUGCGUAGAUAUCGAGAGGAACACCUAUAGCGAAGGCAGUCAUCUGGGCAUUUAUCGACGCUGAAUCACGAAAGCUAGGGGAGCAAACAGGCUUAGAUACCCUGGUAGUCCUAGCCGUAAACGUUGUACACUAGGUGCUUCUAUAUAAAUAGGAGUGCCGUAGCUAACGUAUUAAGUGUACCGCCUGAGGAGUAUGCCCGCAAGGGUGAAACUCAAAGAAAUUGACGGGUCCCCGCACAAGUGGUGGAGAAUGUGGUUUAAUUCGAUGAUACGCGAAAAACCUUACCUGGGUUUGAAUUGUUAGAUGAAUGAUAUAGAGAUAUAUCAGACCGCAAGGACA